rnacentral:rRNA from 1 species
AUUGAACGCUGGCGGUAUGCUUAACACAUGCAAGUCGAACGGUAGCAGGCCUUCGGGCGCUGACGAGUGGCGGACGGGUGAGUAACGCGUAGGAAUCUGCCUCAUAGUGGGGGACAACGUGUGGAAGCGCACGCUAAUACCGCAUACGCCCUACGGGGGAAAGCGGGGGACCUUCGGGCCUCGCGCUAUGAGAUGAGCCUGCGUUAGAUUAGCUAGUUGGUAGGGUAAAGGCCUACCAAGGCGACGAUCUAUAGCUGGUCUGAGAGGACGAUCAGCCACACUGGGACUGAGACACGGCCCAGACUCCUACGGGAGGCAGCAGUGGGGAAUAUUGGACAAUGGGCGCAAGCCUGAUCCAGCAAUACCGCGUGUGUGAAGAAGGCCCUAGGGUUGUAAAGCACUUUCAAUAGGGAGGAAAACCUGUCGGUCAAUACCCGGCAGCUUGACAUUACCUAUACAAGAAGCACCGGCUAACUCCGUGCCAGCCGCCGCCGUAAGAC